AUGCCAGACAUUUCAUUCCAUGAGACUAAACAGAGAGAUGCAGAUUAUCAAUGGGUCAGACCUAACCCAGGUUGGCUCAAACUGAAUGUUGAUGCAAGCUUUAUUCAGGAGUCAAACCAUGGAGCUUGGGGGGCGGUUCUACAAGAUACGAACGGGGCGGUGAUUGGAUCUGCUUGGAACACAAUCCAUAACUGCGCUAGUGCUGAGGCGGCCGAAGCUGAAGCUUGUCUUGAAGGAAUCCGAGAUACCAUGCAGUUCAUAGACCGGCCAGUAGUUAUUGAGAGCGACUGUGCGAAUCUCAUCCAACAAAUUUCUUCAAAGGACUUUAAUAGGUCUUCCAUUGGUAGCUUGUGUAGGGAAAUUCAGAAUUUGCUGGGCCAACUCCCUGAUUUUACUAUUGCUAAGAUAUCUAGAAAUGGCAAUAGGGUUGCCCAUGCUCUCGCUAGUUUUGGUAGGAGUGGUGUGAGUAAGGGUGUGUUGAUCGGCUCAGUUCCAGCCUGCGUGUUGCGACUGGUCGAUGAUGAUUGUAAUGAACCUAUGUUGAUUGUUUAA
rnacentral:rRNA from 1 species